rnacentral:rRNA from 1 species
AUUGAACGCUGGCGGCAGGCCUAACACAUGCAAGUCGAACGCGUGGCGGACGGGUGAGUAAUGUCUGGGAAACUGCUUGAUGGAGGGGGAAAACUACUGGAAACGGUAGCUAAUACCGCAUACCAUCGGAUGUGUCCAGAUGGCAUUAGCCAGUAGGUGGGGUAAAGGCUCACCUAGGCGACGAUCCCUAGCUGGUCUGAGAGGAUGACCGGCCACACUGGAACUGAGACACGGUCCAGACUCCUACGGGAGGCAGCAGUAGGGAAUAUUGCGCAAUGGGCGCAAGCCUGAUGCAGCCAUGCCGCGUGAAUGAUGAAGGCCUUCGGGUCGUAAAGUACUGUCAUUGGGGAGGCGUUACCCACACAGGAAGCACCGGCUAACUCCGUGCCAGCAGCCGCGGUAAUAC